GGGAAUUUUAAAAAGAAGAAGAAAUCAGAGGAAGCCUUGCAGUGUGUGAGCUGUACCCCAGGUAAUCCCACUGAUAUCAGGACAUCUCUAUACAUUUUUCCGAUACCACAUUUCUCAGGGGUAUCACAGACUCAGUCCAUCUAUGCAACCCAAUUCUAAGGACAUCCUGGCUUCAAAAAGCAACAGAGUGAAAGAUAAUUCAUGGAAGUGGAGAGAAAGUCUAUUGUCAACAUAGAAACAAAUGAGAACUUACCUUAACUUUCAGCAUGCCCUACGAACUAGAACAUCUCUUCAUUCUCAACACACGCUACACACUCGGUCUUCUUAGAGCAGCUAUCCAAGUGCAGACACUGGAGAAAGGGAGGACAUGAUUGUUCUAAGAUGAGUGGAUGCCUCCCCUAUCUUCAGUGAACAAGCCAGCGCUCCAAUAAAAAGCAAACUUAUCUAAAAUAGUGGCUCUCAACCUUCCUGAUACUGUGACCCUUGAUGCAGUGUUGUGAUUAUCUCCAAGUAUAAAGUUAUAUUCAUUGCUACUUCAGAACUGCAAUUUUUGCCACUGUUUUGACACGUAAUAUAAAUAUCUGAUAUGCAGAUGGUCUUAGGAGAUCCCAGUGAAAGGAUUGUUCAACGCCCCCCCCAACCCCCCCCACACACACACACACACACACACACAAGAGAGGCCAUGACCCACAGGCUGAGAGCCACUGAUCUAAAGCUGACACGGGACAGGACUGUCAGAUUCUUAUGAAAACAAACUCAAGAAUACUGACUGACUUCAGCAUAUUAGAGACAUCAUCAAGUCCUCCUUUUUGUAUUAGGCUAUUUAACUACAGUUACGCCAUCUCCUGAUAGUAGUCUAUGAAUACUUUAGAUGUUAAACCUAUCUUGGGUAAAACUGGUCUCUGAUCACUUAGACCAGCCCUUAAUUCCCAUACAAUGAUGACCCUGAGCUAAAUGUCAACUACCUGGCCAUUCAACUACUAUCUCUCUGCUUCUGUACAAUUCUUGCUUGCUGUGGAUUUCCAGAGCUGCCUCUCUGUAUAUGGCACAAUUGUAAGUUUUACCCUUAAAAACUGGAACCAACUAGAGGUCAAGGCUGUUUGCCACAACAAUCUGCUUGGGACAGUCCCAUUGGUAGUUAAUAAAGACUCCAUUCCACU
rnacentral:lncRNA from 1 species